AGGAUUAACGCUGGCGGCGUGCCUAACACAUGCAAGUCGAACGAGGUAGCAAUACCUAGUGGCAGACGGGUGAGUAACGCGUGGUCAACCUACCGUUGAGUGGGGGAUAACUAGCCGAAAGGUUAGCUAAUACCGCAUACGUCUCCGAGGGGCAUCCCUUGGCGAUAAAAGGAGCAAUCCGCUCGAUGACGGGACCGCGUCCCAUUAGCUAGAUGGUGGGGUAACGGCCUACCAUGGCACCGAUGGGUAGCUGGUUUGAGAGAGCGACCAGCCACACUGGGGACUGAGAAACGGCCCAGACUCCUACGGGAGGCAGCAGUGAGGAAUUUUUCCGCAAUGGGCGCAAGCCUGACGGAGCGACGCCGCGUGUGGGAAGAAGGCCUUCGGGUCGUAAACCACUGUCGAAGGGGACGAUAAUGACGGUACCCUUGGAGGAAGCCCCGGGCUAACUACGUGCCAGCAGCCGC
rnacentral:rRNA from 1 species